AUUUUUAUAGUGUAAACAAACAUAUUACAUUUUCAUUGUAAAGCUGAAACUAUUUUUCUAAAAAUU
rnacentral:tRNA from 1 species